rnacentral:rRNA from 1 species
CCUACGGGAGGCAGCAGUGGGGGAUAUUGGACAAUGGGGGGAACCCUGAUCCAGCGACGCCGCGUGAGUGAAGAAGUAUUUCGGUAUGUAAAGCUCUGUCAGCAGGGAAGAAAGAAAUGACGGUACCUGAACAAGAAGCCCCGGCUAACUACGUGCCAGCAGCCGCGGUAAUACGUAGGAGGCAAGCGUUAUCCGGAAUUACUGGGUGUAAAGGGGGCGUAGACGGUUAAGUAAGUCUGGAGUGAAAGGCCGGGGCCCAACCCCGGGACUGCUCUGGAAACUAGUGAACUUGAGUGCAGGAGAGGUAAGCGGAAUUCCUAGUGUAGCGGUGAAAUGCGUAGAUAUUAGGAGGAACACCAGUGGCGAAGGCGGCUUACUGGACUGUAACUGACGUUGAGGCUCGAAAGCGUGGGUAGCAAACAGGAUUAGAUACCCGUGUAGUC